rnacentral:rRNA from 1 species
GGACUACACGGGUUUCUAAUCCUGUUUGCUCCCCACGCUUUCGUGCCUGAGCGUCAAUCUCGGCCCAGGGGGCUGCCUUCGCCAUCGGUGUUCCGCCACAUCUCUACGCAUUUCACUGCUACACGUGGCAUUCCACCCCCCUCUGCCGGAUUCAAGUCCCAUAGUUUCCACUGCCAUUCCCAGGUUAAGCCCGGGGAUUUCACAGCGGACUUGCGGAACCGCCUACGCACGCUUUACGCCCAGUAAUUCCGAUUAACGCUCGCACCCUACGUAUUACCGCGGCUGCUGGCAC